GCGCCCGUAGCUCAGUUGGAUAGAGCAUCCGCCUUCUAAGCGGACGGUCAGAGGUUCGAAUCCUCUCGGGCGCGCCA
rnacentral:tRNA from 1 species